rnacentral:rRNA from 1 species
AGUGAACGCUGGCGGUAGGCCUAACACAUGCAAGUCGAACGGCAGCACAGUAAGAGCUUGCUCUUACGGGUGGCGAGUGGCGGACGGGUGAGGAAUACAUCGGAAUCUACUUUUUCGUGGGGGAUAACGUAGGGAAACUUACGCUAAUACCGCAUACGACCUACGGGUGAAAGCAGGGGAUCUUCGGACCUUGCGCGAUUGAAUGAGCCGAUGUCGGAUUAGCUAGUUGGCGGGGUAAAGGCCCACCAAGGCGACGAUCCGUAGCUGGUCUGAGAGGAUGAUCAGCCAAACUGGAACUGAGACACGGUCCGUGAUCCUACGGGCGGCAGCAGUGGGGAAUAUUGGACAAUGGGCGCAAGCCUGAUCCAGCCAUACCGCGUGGGUGAAGAAGGCCUUCGGGUUGUAAAGCCCUUUUGUUGGGAAAGAAAAGCAGCAGGUUAAUACCACGCUGUUCUGACGGUACCCAAAGAAUAAGCACCGGCUAACUUCGUG